CCUACGGGUGGCUGCAGUAGGGAAUUUUGCGCAAUGGGCGAAACCCUGACGCAGCAACGCCGCGUGAGCGAUGAAGCCCUUCGGGGUGUAAAGAUCUGUCAGUGGGGACGAAACCUGACGGUACCCACAGAGGAAGCACCGGCUAACUCUGUGCCAGCAGCCGCGGUAAUACGGGGGGGGCAAGCGUUGUCCGUAAUCAUUGGGCGUAAGGAGUUCGUAGGUGGCACGUUAAGGCUGGUGUUAAAGGCGGACGCUCAACCUCCGUAGGGCACUGGAGACUGGCGAGCUUGAGUGCGGUAGAGGAGAAGGGAAUUCCUGGUGUAGCGGUGAAAUGCGUAGAUAUCAGGAGGAACAUCGGUGGCGAAGGCGCUUUACUGGGCCGUAAUUGACACUGAGGAACGAAAGCCGGGGUAGCAAAUGGGAUUAGAUACCCCAGUAGUC
rnacentral:rRNA from 1 species